rnacentral:lncRNA from 1 species
GGUGAUUGAGAAUUUUUUAGAAAAAUUGGGUGUUAAAAAACUAAAUCAUUUUUUUCUCUAUUUGUGAAGCAGAAAGGGAAUGAAACCACAUUGGAGCGAUUAGUCGCCAUUCCUUCUCAUGCCCAAACCGAUCGCUACAACGAUGGUCACCUAUUAGUCGUCGUUCCUUCGCCAUGCCGGUGCAGUAGUCUAACUCAGAUGUCAGAUCCACCAAGUCCUCGACUUCCAUCUUCGUCAAAAUCUGACUCAGAUCCACCAAUAACUCUUUACUUGCAAUAUUCUUUCAGUUAUUAGCAUAUAACUUAUCAGUUGUUCUACAAUCUAUUCAAAUCUGACUAGAUAAUUUUCUAAUUUCAAUAAAUUCGAGGUCUUUAGUGUUUCUUUUGUUUUCAUUUGAAUUUUAUUUUUGAUUAUGUUAUUAGUAGAUGCUAGCGUGAUAAUUAUUAUUGUGUGUCGAGAAUUUUAUCUCCUGAGACUCUUAAAAUUAUUAUUGUUGAAGGUGAUGAUCACCAAGCCUGUUUGGG